rnacentral:lncRNA from 1 species
GGGUCUUCAGGUCGGCGCCUAAACGGCGCCGUUUCAGCAUUUUAAAGAGGCUGGGCAAAACGGUGCGUUUUGCCAGCCUAUAUAAGCCAUAUUUUUUUUAUUUCACCUUCUCCUUUUAAAAAAAAAACAAAAAAAACCUUCAAAUCCUCUCCCCCUUUUCUCUCUGCCAACCCAGAAUCCGGCGAGGAGUAGACCGGUCGCAGUCGUGCCGUCCACCGUGCCGGCCACCGUGAAUCGGAAAAUGGUAAAAAUUUGAUUUUUUUUUUAUUUUCUAAAAUGUAUUUAUAAUAUGUGUGUAUGAGGGUAAAUAGAUUAAGAAAAAAAGAAAAAGAAAGAAAACAACGAUAAUGGUCAAAUGAAAUCAUCUUGGGCUAUUUAGAUUUUUUCUCUGUUUAGGCUAUUUUCUGCUUUUGAUAUUGUUGUGGUCUCCGUUCUUGCUCAUAGGUUUAAAAUCUAAUGUUGCUUUUAUUUUUACCAAUGGCCAAUCGAUACAAUGGUUUCUGCUUGGCUUUUUAUAGCCAUUAAAUGCCUCUCCUUUCUACUUUCUGUCCCUUCUCUAUUUAAUAUUUGCAGGUAGUGGAGCAAGUAGGUGGCUGACGUGACAGUGGCGGUGGAGCAGAGGCGAUGGCCAAAUUCUGACAUGGGGCGGCAGCAGUUGAUUAGGCUAGGGUUUUUAGUUCCCCCUUUUUUUGUUUUGUGUAUUGGGCUUGGGUUCUUUUAGGCUUAAGGCAUUUAGUUGGGUAUUAAUUUGGGCCAGCAAAUUGGACUUGUACAAUUAUAACUUGAUUAAAAUUAGUAUAUGACCGAACAUAUAUUUAUACUAGUGAACAUUAUUAAACUAUAUCUUAAGCCUCAAUCAUUUUUAUCAAUAUCAUAUUUUUAUCCAAAACAUAUAAUUUUCUAGUCUUAAAAGGACAAAAAAAAGGUAUUUAGUAGAAAAAUCAAUUGAACUUUUU